rnacentral:rRNA from 1 species
AUUGAACGCUGGCGGCAGGCCUAACACAUGCAAGUCGAGCGGUAGAGAGGUGCUUGCAUCUCUUGAGAGCGGCGGACGGGUGAGUAAUGCCUAGGAAUCUGCCUAGUGGUGGGGGAUAACGUUCGGAAACGGACGCUAAUACCGCAUACGUCCUACGGGAGAAAGCGGGGGAUCUUCGGACCUCGCGCCAUUAGAUGAGCCUAGGUCGGAUUAGCUAGUUGGUGAGGUAAUGGCUCACCAAGGCGACGAUCCGUAACUGGUCUGAGAGGAUGAUCAGUCACACUGGAACUGAGACACGGUCCAGACUCCUACGGGAGGCAGCAGUGGGGAAUAUUGGACAAUAGGCGAAAGCCUGAUCCAGCCAUGCCGCGUGUGUGAAGAAGGUCUUCGGAUUGUAAAGCACUUUAAGUUGGGAGGAAGGGUAGUAACCUAAUACGUUGCUACUUUGACGUUACCGACAGAAUAAGCACCGGCUAACUUCGUG